CUCAGUCCUGACCCCUUGAGCGCA
rnacentral:piRNA from 1 species